rnacentral:misc_RNA from 1 species
AAGUCGUAACAAGGUAACCGUAGGUGAACCUGCGGUUGGAUCAUUAACAAAAUUGGUAGUCUUUUUUUUUUUAAAAAAAAGCUAUUUUAACACCAAUGUGAACUUGUAUUAUUGUUUCUUUUUCUUUUUUUUUUCUUGAUUAAAUAAAUUUUUUUGGUUUGACCAAAAAGUUUUUUUUAUUUUGAGGAGGGAAAGAAAAAACCAUUUUAAACUUAAAAAGAAUUUAUAUAUUUUGACCUUUAAAUAAAAGUGUUUUAUACUUUAAAAAAAAAAUAAUUUAAAAAAACAACUUUUGGCAACGGAUCUCUAGGCUCUU